rnacentral:rRNA from 1 species
UACGUAGGGUGCAAGCGUUAAUCGGAAUUACUGGGCGUAAAGCGUGCGCAGGCGGUCUUGUAAGACAGAGGUGAAAUCCCCGGGCUCAACCUGGGAACUGCCUUUGUGACUGCAAGGCUUGAGUGCGGCAGAGGGGGAUGGAAUUCCGCGUGUAGCAGUGAAAUGCGUAGAUAUGCGGAGGAACACCGAUGGCGAAGGCAAUCCCCUGGGCCUGCACUGACGCUCAUGCACGAAAGCGUGGGGAGCAAACAGG